rnacentral:rRNA from 1 species
CGGCCAGACUCCUACGGGAGGCAGCAGUGAGGAAUAUUGGUCAAUGGGCGAGAGCCUGAACCAGCCAAGUCGCGUGAGGGAGUACUGCCCUAUGGGUUGUAAACCUCUUUUGUCGGGGAGCAAAAGCCGGACGUGUCCGGCUGUGAGAGUACCCGAAGAAAAAGCAUCGGCUAACUCCGUGCCAGCAGCCGCGGUAAUACGGAGGAUGCGAGCGUUAUCCGGAUUUAUUGGGUUUAAAGGGUGCGCAGGCGGAUUGUUAAGUCAGCGGUCAAAUCGUGGGGCUCAACCCCAUCCAGCCGUUGAAACUGGCGGCCUCGAGUGGGCGAGAAGUAUGCGGAAUGCGUGGUGUAGCGGUGAAAUGCAUAGAUAUCACGCAGAACUCCGAUUGCGAAGGCAGCAUACCGGCGCCCGACUGACGCUGAGGCACGAAAGCGUGGGUAUCGAACAGGAUUAGAUACCCGCGUA